GUGCCAGCCGCCGCGGUAAUACCGGCGGCUCGAGUGGUGGCCGCUAUUACUGGGCUUAAAGGGUCCGUAGCUUGAUAACUGGGUCCCUUGAGAAAUCCGCUGGCUUAACUUGCGGGCGCUCAGGGGAACCUUGUUUUCUUGGGACCGGGAGAGGUGAGGGGUACUGCCGGGGUAGGAGUGAAAUCCUGUAAUCCCGGUGGGACCCCCUAUGGCGAAGGCAUCUCACCAGAACGGGUCCGACAGUGAGGGACGAAAGCUGGGGGAGCAAACCGGAUGAGAUACCCGGGUAGUCCCAGCUGUAAACUAUGGGCGUUAGGUGGGUCAGUGACCACGUGUCACUGAGGUGCCGAAGGGAAACCGUGAAACGCACCGCCUGGGGAGUACGGUCGCAAGGCUGAAACUUAAAUGAAUUGACGG
rnacentral:rRNA from 1 species